rnacentral:rRNA from 1 species
AGUUCGAUCAUGGCUCAGAUUGAACGCUGGCGGGAUGAACUUUACAUGCAAGUCGGAGCGGCAGCACGGACUGAGCCUGGUGGCGAGUGGCGAACAGGUGAGUAAUGUAUGGAACGUGCCCUAGUAGCGGGGGAUAACUACGCGAAAGCGUAGCUAAUACCACCAUACGCCCUUCGAAAAGGGGGAAAGCGAGAGGCCUUCGGGCCUCGCACUAUUAGAGCGGCCGAUAUCGGAUUGGCUAGUUGGUGGGGUAACGGCUCACCAAGGCGACGAUCCGUAGCUGGUUUGAGAGGACGACCAGCCACACUGGGACUGAGACACGGCCCAGACUCCUGCAGGAGGCGGUGGGGAAUUUUGGACAAUGGGGAAACCUGAUCCAGCCAUCCCGCGUGUGCGAUGAAGGCCUUCAGGUUGUAAAGCACUUUUUGGCAGGAAAGAAACGGCACGGGAUAAUACCCCGUGCAACUGACGGUACCUGCAGAAUACAGCACCGGCUAACUACGUGCCAGCAGCCGCGGUAAUACGUAGGGUGCAAGCGUUAAUCGGAAUUACUGGGCGUAAAGCGUGCGCAGGCGGUUCGGAAAGAAAGAUGUAGGAAAUCCAGAGCUUAACCCUGGAACUGCAUUUUUAACUACUGUUAGAGUGUGUCAGAGGAGGUGGAAUUCCGCGUGUAGCAGUGAAAUGCGUAGAUAUGCGGAGAGACACCGAUGGCGAAGGCAGCCUCCUGGGAUAACACUGACGCUCAUGCACGAAAGCGUGGGGCUCGGCGGGAUUAGAUGCCCUGGUAGUCCACGCCUAACGAUGUCAACUAGCUGUUGGGGCCUUCGGGCCUUGGUAGCGCAGCUAACGCGUGAAGUUGACCGCCUGGGGAGUACGGUCGCAAGAUUAAAACUCAAGGGGAAUUGACGGGGACCCGCACAAGCGGUGGAUGAUGUGGAUUAAUUCGAUGCAACGCGAAAAACCUUACCUACCACCCUUGACAUGUCUGGAAUCCCGAAGAGAUUUGGGAGUGCUCGCAAGAGAACCGGAACACAGGUGCUGCAUGGCUGUCGUCAGCUCGUGUCGUGAGAUGUUGGGUUAAGUCCCGCAACGAGCGCAACCCUUGUCAUUAGUUGCUACGAAAGGGCACUCUAAUGAGACUGCCGGUGACAAACCGGAGGAAGGUGGGGAUGACGUCAAGUCCUCAUGGCCCUUAUGGGUAGGGCUUCACACGUCAUACAAUGGUCGGGACAGAGGUCGCCAACCCGCGAGGGGAGCCAAUCCCAGAAACCCGAUCGUAGUCCGGAUCGCAGUCUGCAACUCGACUGCGUGAAGUCGGAAUCGCUAGUAAUCGCGGAUCAGCAUGUCGCGGUGAAUACGUUCCCGGGUCUUGUACACACCGCCCGUCACACCAUGGGAGUGGGUUUUACCAGAAGUAGUUAGCCUAACCGUAAGGAGGGCGAUUACCACGGUAGGAUUCAUGACUGGGGUGAAGUCGUAGCUGGGUAG